rnacentral:lncRNA from 1 species
GUUCCGGGACCUGGCGCUGCCCGCAGUGAGGACGCGGCUCCGGACCCGCGCCCCGCGGAGCAGCCCCCGCGGCUCUGGACGUCCCGGCGCGUCCGCGGUUAUGUCUUCUAGGUUAUAGAAUUGAUGAUCCUAUCAACUGCAUAAAAGAGAGUGCCCCAAGAAAAUGGUCCUUUUUCUAGAGUGAGAAAGAAGCUCUGAGCACUG